rnacentral:lncRNA from 1 species
GCAAAAUGCUUCAAAAUAUAUCUUAUUUUAUGCCAAAGAUCUGCUCCCCCUCUAAGAACCUACCGGAAACACUUCCUUCGGGGGCAUGGGGAAGGGAUAGAUUGGAAGAAGGCAGAAGUGGCCUGACCUAUGUCUAGACCUGUGAGACGGAGGUUUUGGUAGUUCGUGGUCAUGAUCUUGCCACAGCCUCACAGGCGCAGAGAUGUCGUGCCCCUGACAACAGCGCGACCUGCUUUGAGCGAUAGCAACAGCAAACUGAGGGAAAAGGCUUUGAGGAUGUCGAUAACCUGCUCCAGAUCGUCUGGCUCUGAAGUCCCUCUGCUCUUAAGAAGCAUGUGGCCUGGUGAAGUCUACGAGGUUCAUGACUGCUUGGUGGCUAGGCUGAUGACUAUGGUCCAGCCAGGGGUGAGCAGGCAAAGGCAGGCUGGACACACCCUGUUCCACAAACAUCAAGGAGGGCUGGUGAGAUGGAACAGGAGGUAAAUAGACUUACAGCCAAGCCUUACACCCUGAGUUCCAGCCUUGGGACCCACCUUGAUGGAAGGAGAAAACCAACUCCCGUAAGCUGUCCCCUGACUUCUACACACAUGUGUCAGGACAUGGAAUGACCCCUUUCCACACUGAUGAGCCGCAGCUUACAGUUCACAAAGACUCUUGACACCGACUGUCCAUUUUCAUUCAUGAUCGUCAGAGCAGACGCACGGAAAAGACAAACGGCGUGAAGUAUAUGAGCAGCAGGCUGAGGGGCAGGUCGGUGAAGUGCUCGGCACGCAAG